rnacentral:rRNA from 1 species
AGUGAACGCUGGCGGUAGGCCUAACACAUGCAAGUCGAACGGCAGCACAGGAGAGCUUGCUCUCUGGGUGGCGAGUGGCGGACGGGUGAGGAAUACAUCGGAAUCUACUUUUUCGUGGGGGAUAACGUAGGGAAACUUACGCUAAUACCGCAUACGACCUACGGGUGAAAGCAGGGGAUCUUCGGACCUUGCGCGAUUGAAUGAGCCGAUGUCGGAUUAGCUAGUUGGCGGGGUAAAGGCCCACCACGGCGACGAUCCGUAGCUGGUCUGAGAGGAAGAUCAGCCACACUGGAGCUGAGACACGGUCCAGACUCCUAAGGGAGGCAGCAGUGGGGAAUAUUGGACAAUGGGCGCAAGCCUGAUCCAGCCAUACCGCGUGGGUGAAGAAGGCCUUCGGGUUGUAAAGCCCUUUUGUUGGGAAAGAAAUCCAGCUGGUUAAUACCCGGUUGGGAUGACGGUACCCAAAGAACAAGCACCGGCUAACUUCGUGCCAGCAGCCGCAGUAA